UUGACUGAUGAGCAUUUACUUCUGAGUAAAAGCUGGCCACUAAGCCCUCAGGCAGAGUACCAAAUCCUCACCCAUGGCCACUUUCUCAGAAAAACGAGGUCUAUUCAGCAAGGCUUCACAGGACCGGGUACUCAUCCAUCUCUUUCAGAAUCUACGACCACACCCCUUCCCUGAACCCAAUCUUGUUCUUUACAGGGUGGGACAGAAUAGUGGAAAAAGCACGGAGGAUCUGUGUUUGAAUCUCAGCUCUGUCACUCAUAUGGGCAAAUGACUUGAAUUUUUCGAGGUUCAGUUCUUUGGUGGUAAAUAAAGAAUGGAAUCCAUUUGGAAGAUGGCUUCGGAUGACUGAUGCGUUCAGAACUCAGCUCAACCACCACAAGAAACAGAUGUGUUCUUUACCACUGGCUCACUUUUCUUGUUGCCGUGAGCAAACCACCUAACAAGGAUCAGCUUGGGGGAGGAAACCAUUAUCCAGCUUCAGUUCAAGAGGCUGCACCCUACGACGACAGGGAGAGUGUGGCAGCAGCCAGAAAUAUGGAAGCAUUGUCCUCAUUUUGAGACUUGGUUAAGAGAAAUGCUGUUUCUCCUUUUAUAUCAGAAAGCUGACUUGAGCCCAUUUUGGAGUGAGAAGCAAUUUCUAUCAUCAAAGAUUGUUUAUUCAGUCCUUUGUAAGCAAAUUUUCCUUAAUUCCAAGAACGAGAGUAUGUCAAAGUCUGUGUCCCUGCCUGAAUAGCUUAAGAGCUCAGGCCAAGGGAUUGAACUUACAUGCUGCACAAGCGCUUCACCACUCGACUUACAUCCUUAGCGGCAAUUAUUCAAACAAAGCAAAACAACAAUGGGUGUCCGUGAGGAAGAUUCGGAGACAAUCUCUGUGAAGUGCAAGAAGCCUCCGCCUCCGCCAAGGAGAACAGCUUUUCAGUUUGUUUCUGGAAGCUCCUUAAGUUCCGCUGGAAGAGUGUCAACAAGCCAACUGUUAUCUCAGCCUGGAGAAAGCACACUGAUCAUUUAUAGAUCAGAAACAAAGGACUUGUUUCCAGGCAGAAAAUGGAGGGGAAGAGUCUCGUUGGAACGACAGAUAGGCCUAUGUCGGUGAUGUGGAAGGACUUGGGAAGCCCAGUUGGUGUUUCUCAGAGCAGAGCAUCUAAACCAGGCUUGGCCAACUUGGUUCAGCAGUGUAGGUGCGAUGCAAACACCCAGAUGACCCAAGUUGCUAUCGACUAUCUACGACUUUUCGACUCUCCAACAAUUACCAAUGACAUUUAUUAAAAUUCGAUAAAAUACUGGUAGAAUUUCAA